UGUACCUGUCCCAUUCGUUCCCGUCCUGUCCACAGUACAGACAGGUGGAGCGUCACCGAUGGCAAGGUCUUCUGUCACAACUAAUCUACCGUCUCAGUACCUAGGGGCUCCAGCUACCAGUACAAGCUUCACAAUGCCACCACAAGCAGUUACAGUGGCACCGCCACCUCCUGCAGUGCAGUAUACUCACCGCAGUAUACCAACUGCAACACCAGUUCAGACGGCACCACCCUGGACCUACCCGGGUAUGGAAACCCUGAUUGCUACAUCUUACGGCAUUCCCAAACCAACACUUCCCUUCUUCGAGAGCGGCAGAGAAAGUGAUUUCGCACUUUUGAAGAUGGCGCUCGACAACUUGAUGAAUAGUCACCCUCAUCUCAGCGAGCACUAUAAAUAUCAAGUUCUCCUGAGUCAGCUCAAGCUUCAGAGUGCUCUGCAGUUGGCUAAAUCAUACAUGUAUGACCCCGCACCGUAUACAGCUGCAAUGGGAGCUCUGCAAGACAAAUAUGGCCAGCCAAGACAACUGGUUCAAAGUGAACUAGCGGCAAUACUCAACUCCCCAGCCAUUAAGUCAGGAGACGCAGAGGCAUUCGACUCCUUCGCUCUCUCAGUCCAGUCGCUGGUCGGUAUGCUGCGCACUUUAGAGGGACCAGUUGGAUACGAGCUCAGGUGUGGUUCUCAUGUUGACCGUCUCUUAAGCAAAAUGUCUCCUUCCCACAGAGAUGGAUUUGUGGAAUAUUGUCUCAUUCACGGCAUCCUGCAGCCAGGUUCAGAGCUCACCUACUCCCUGCCCGACCUCGCUGCGUGGUUGCAGAUGAAGGCUCAAGCCAAGCGUCUUGCCAGUCGAGCUACUCUUCUCUACAAUUCUACAGGGCCUACCCUUCCAAAGAGAGAUCAACGUAGUUUAAAGCCCAAAGAUAAAAUAGCGUCAGUCUUCCUCUGCUCUGGUGAGACAGCCAACAAGGAGACCUUUCAUGCGAAGUCCCAAGCUUUCAAACUCAGUCCUUAUUGUCCGUUCUGCAACAAUAAGGAGCACUACCUUAACUCAUGCCCCGACUUUAAGAAAAUGUCUAAUGCUGAGAUUAAGAAGUGGAUCCAGGAAGGCGACAGAUGUUGGAAAUGCGGCCGCGGCCACAAAGCUACAGCCUGCACACUUAAACGCCCCUGUAAGAUUUGCAAAGAGAAACACCUUACAGUCCUCCAUGACGCCAUUCAAGAGUCAUCCCAGAAAGUGCUGAUGGUCAGUAAUCCGAAGCCCAUUGUCUACAUUGAGCAGCCCCGAAGCCCUCAGAGAGUGUUGCUGAAGGUUGUCAAAGUGCUCCUGCAUCAUGGAGAUCGCACUCUUGAGACAUUUGCAGUGCUCGAUGAUGGUUCGGAAAGAACGAUUAUCCUCCCACAAGCUGUAGAGCAACUACAACUCUCUCAGCAUCCAGAGACGCUCCAUCUGAGGACAGUCCAGCAAGAGGUGAAAGAACUGAAAGGUUCCUCAGUUAGCUUUCAUGUAUCCCCCAUCUUCAAGCCAAAAAAGAAGUUUUGGAUUCAACAUGCGUUCACUGCAAGCAGUCUGAGUUUAUCUGAACACACAUACCCAGUAGCAGCUCUCCAGAAGUGCUAUGAGCAUCUCAAAGGACUUCCUUUGACGCCUAUCCACAGAGCCCAACCUCUGCUCCUCAUCGGCUCUGAUAUGCCUCAGCUUCUUACUCCUACACAGCCAGUCAGAGCAGGUCCAUCUGGCGGUCCUAUAGC
ensembl:lncRNA